GGGUAUGGCUUAGUGGUAGAGCAUUUGCCUAUUGUGCAUGGGCCCUGGAUUCCAUUCCCAGCACUGCA
rnacentral:tRNA from 1 species